ACAGACUUAAGCUAUGAUUUAAACUGUUGGAUUUCAAAUCUAAAACACACUUCUGUUUUUA
rnacentral:tRNA from 1 species